GAUCCUGGCUUAGGACGAACGCUGGCGGCGUGCCUAAUACAUGCAAGUCGAACGGUCUUUCUAUGGAAGCUUGCUUCCACUGAGAAGAUAGUGGCGAACGGGUGAGUAACACGUGGGUAACCUGCCCAUAAGAGGGGGAUAACAUCCGGAAACGGGUGCUAAUACCGCAUAGUUUUCUUGAUCGCAUGAUCGGGAAAGGAAAGACGGCCUUUGUGCUGUCGCUUAUGGAUGGACCCGCGGCGUAUUAGUUAGUUGGUGAGGUAACGGCUCACCAAGACGAUGAUACGUAGCCGACCUGAGAGGGUGAUCGGCCACAUUGGGACUGAGACACGGCCCAAACUCCUACGGGAGGCAGCAGUAGGGAAUCUUCCGCAAUGGACGAAAGUCUGACGGAGCAACGCCGCGUGAGUGAAAGAAGGUUUUCGGAUCGUAAAACUCUGUUGUCAGAGAAGAACAAGUUGGAGAGUAACUGCUCCAGCCUUGACGGUAUCUGACCAGAAAGCCACGGCUAACUACGUGCCAGCCGCGGC
rnacentral:rRNA from 1 species